CACCCACCUUUAGAGAUGAGACACAAGCAGGAGAAGAGGGAUUAAACCUGCUAGUUUUGGAAAAAAAAAAAAAAAGGAAAGAAAAGAAAAGAAAGAAAGAAAAACAAAAAACAACAACAAACAGAAAAAUGCAAAACUGCAGAACACGCAGUGGAGCUGGACUCCCUCCCUAUUCCACCAGACCAGUGCCCAAAGUUGGAGAAUAACUAGAAACCAGGCUUCAGAUGUCUUGGGUACCAGUUAUAAAGAUUCAGAAUCAGUAUGCAACUGAGGAUUCACUGCAAUUGUUCCUUGAGAAGAUGAGGAUCAGGUCGGGAAUUGGAAACAUCUGAGGGCUCAAUUCAACCUGGCUUCUAAAACGAACAUGGUGAACAUAGAUCAACUACUGAACUUCUUUUAACCUCUGGCAUCCUAUCUGUGAAUUGUGGGGAGGAAACAGGGUCCACCCGCUGCUGCACAAGAGGGGUGUGUGCAGACCGUCACCUUGUGUCUGCUGUAGCAGGAGACCCCUGGCCAUGCGGGACUGAACCCAUGAUUGCAGCUGAUCUUACUCUGUCUCUUCUCUGUGUGAGUAAAGUGUUGUUCCAUCUAGUGCCUGUGUGAGUCGUGUCUUUCGUGGCGACACCUAUAAACCAUGGAGUGGGCUGACAUCCUGGUUCUGCUGCUCCUGGUGGCGGGCAUUGUUGUGCUGUUUGCCGUCCUCUACACAGUGCGAAUCUUCUCUACCCUGCCCGAGUCUCGGCAUCUCCACAUGUGCCAUGAGGAUGGUAAUGCUUUACAGAACUGAAGACUCACAUCAAAAUGCUGCCUGCUUCCAUGAGGCUUGUAGUGACAUCCAUGUACAAGUUCAAAGACCCUCUGAGCCAAUUUCCACUUCUCUGCAUGUCUCUGGGGACCUAGGGGACCAGGAUUACUAUAAAAGCAGAGCACAAGAAGGCUGACCUUGAACUCCUCAAGAUGCUUGCUCCUGGGAUUCUCCAGCUGCAAUCAGCAUCCCCCACCCCCACUUGCCUGCGGUUGCUACAUGGGUCAGACAGCAAGGACCACAGGGGCACUAAGUUUGCUGCUGACUCUUGACCUCAGAUGGGCUAUUUGGCCAAGGGCCCAGCUCUCCCUCCAAUGUAGAGGAGGCAGGGAGGCAGGAGCCAGCAAGAAGUUCCUCCAGGCAAAGGGAAAGUGGCAAAGAUACUCAAGAGCUCACAGCUAUUCCAUCCUCUACACCCUGGGAGACUCUGACUGGGGCCUGGAUCUGGCCAGAAAGUAGACCUGUCAGUAUCCUGGAGACCAGAUACAGGAAGCUUAUUACUGAGCUCUCCAAAGCCUGAUGCCCGGAAGCAGCAUCAGCUCACUGGGUUGGCUUGGAGGAGCAGGACUCUUGCGGCCUUUGCCCUUUGUCUUUGGGACCUCCUCUAGGGGGCAGGAGACAGGUGGAGGAUCUUACUUCCUCUGGGUCUGAAACUUUCAUUCACCCAAUGAAAUGGGGAGGCGCUAUACUCGCAUGGGGUAAACCCCUGACCCCUACCCAAACUCACCAGGCUGGUAUGGUCAUAAACACACAACACCCAGAGGCAGGAGGUCCAGGACAUUUCUCCCACGACCCCUUAUUCCCACCUCAACUCCUCCCUAUCCUGCCCCGUGCCCUAUUCUCUUCUUCUCCCAGCCUUUCAAAGGCAGAGUGACCCUGCAAACCCUCUCCUCUGCUGUCUUCAGUCCUUGACCAAGCUGGAGGCAGCACUGAUGGGAAUUGUUCCUGCCCCUCAUGGGCAGAGCCUGCAGACUCAGGAUGCUGCUCCACUAGCCAAGCAGCUCUUUCCACUAAUAGAUUGUGUAGAAAAACAUUUGGCCAAGAUAGGAAGGAGUCAGUGAGGUCAAGGUUAUGGGGGCAAUUCCUUUGUGAGAGGAUCUGAGAAAGACAAUUCUACAACCUGAACACACAUGGAAAUCUGGCCCUGGCCACAGCCUGGUCUUGACUACAGAGUUUUAAAUUGAGUCCUGAAAAACAUAUGCAGCAACUUUGCUUCGUAGGUGAGAAAUUAAGCUCCAGAGAGGGGCAGCAGCUUACUUAAAGUCACACAGCAAAUCAAAGGAAUACCUGUAACUAGAAUCCAGUCUCCUGCCUCCUAUCCUGGUUAUCUUUAGAUGGCAGCAAAAGGCGAUGUUUUAAAAGCCAGAUUUUGAGGAAAAGAGGAGUGCCCAGGUUAGCUAGUUUGAUGAAGGAGCCCUGGAAGGUCUUAUUUCCUGGUGCAUAGGUAUUCUUUUGUUUUCCUCCUCUUUCCUUCCGGGGCUGGGCCAAAUGAAGGCUAGAAAGUGGCAGAUUC